rnacentral:tRNA from 1 species
GCCAGCGUAGCUCAGAGGUAGAGCACUUCCUUGGUAAGGAAGGGGUCGCGAGUUCAAUUCCCGCCGCCGGCU